rnacentral:rRNA from 1 species
AGAGUUUGAUCCUGGCUCAGGAUGAACGCUGGCGGCGUGCCUAAUACAUGCAAGUCGAACGAGGUGCUUUUGUAGCAAUACGAGAGUAUCCUAGUGGCGAACGGGUGAGUAACGCGUGGGUGACCUGCCCCAAAGUGUGGGAUAACAGAUCGAAAGAUCUGCUAAUACCGCAUGUGGUUAUCGGGUUUAGAAAUCGGUAACUAAAGCAGCAAUGCGCUUUGGGAGGGACCUGCGUCCCAUCAGCUAGUUGGUGAGGUAACGGCUCACCAAGGCGACGACGGGUAGGGGACCUGAGAGGGUGGCCCCCCACAAUGGAACUGAAACACGGUCCAUACACCUACGGGUGGCAGCAGUAGGGAAUAUUGCUCAAUGGGCGAAAGCCUGAAGCAGCAACGCCGCGUGUGCGAUGAAGGCCUUCGGGUCGUAAAGCACUUUUCUGAGAGAUGAGAAAGGACAGUAUCUCAGGAAUAAGUCUCGGCUAACUACGUGCCAGCAGCCGCGGUAAAACGUAGGAGGCGAGCGUUAUCCGGAUUUACUGGGCGUAAAGCGCAUGCAGGCGGUUUUUUAAGUCGGACGUGAAAGCUCCCGGCCCAACUGGGAGAGGCCGUUCGAAACUAGAAAACUUGAGGAUGGUAGAGGAGAGUGGAAUUCCCGGUGUAGUGGUGAAAUGCGUAGAUAUCGGGAGGAACACCAGUGGCGAAAGCGAUCUUCUGGACCAUUUCUGACGCUCAGACGCGAAAGCUAGGGUAGUAAACGGGAUUAGAGACCCCGGUAAUCCUAGCCGUAAACGAUGUAAACUUGGCGUUGGUGGCUUAAACACCAUCAGUGCCGCAGCUAACGCGAUAAGUUUACCGCCUGGGGACUACGAUCGCAAGAUUAAAACUCAAAGGAAUUGACGGGGGCCCGCACAAGCAGCGGAGCGUGUGGUUUAAUUCGA